CCUUAUGGGCUGUUUGUCAAAUUUAACCGUGCACGGGAGAGGUUUUGUGAAAUUUUCCUUUACUGUUGCUGUUGAGCCUUGAGAGAAAAUAAAGCGACCACUCAUUUCAGGAGAUGUGGGUAAAUCAGACAUCCUAACCACAGAAUAACCUGCACCAGAGUCGACCAUGAAAUUGAGUUUGUGACCUUUAACACACAGUUCGCGAGUUGAGGCAUUUUCUUGAAAGCAUAAUUUAUUUAACAUUGUGUGUGUGUGUGUUUCACUUCCCUUUUUCUGCACCUCGCCCACGGCCACGUCCUGUCCGCGCCCCUCUCUUCCUGGUACAGUGAAGUGUGUGUGUCUGUGUGUGUGUCGUGUCUGUGUCUGUGUGUGUGCUCCUGUACAGAUAUCUUUGUGAGGACCAGUUGGAGACAUUUUGACCCUCAAGUAAGACAAAGUGACAUAUUUUCCAGAUGAGAGAGAACAAGAGAGAACCUGUUGUUCCAGUGCAUCAAAUGCUUUCGGUUGUGCUUGUCUAGUAUAAAGAGCAGAGCGGACACGAGCAGCCUCACACUCUCCUGUUACACCAUGUCAGGUUCUGAGGCACAGGGGAGUCAAGGAAGACGAGGAGAAGUCGGACCAUGUCUGCAAUGAACACGGAAGAAGGAGCGCUUGCAGAUCACUGCAGUGAACGGGACUGAGCCACAGAGCACAGAGGAGAUCACUGACAAGAAGUGAAGAAACUUCAAAUAAUAUCUCAGAGUGGAGUGAGGAUCCACUGAUGUGAGGGAAUCGGUCCGAUGCUCUAGAUCAGUGGUCGCCAACCCGUCGAUCGCGAUCUACUGGUCGAUCUCCCAACUCUCUGGACUCACUGGCUGUCGUCGCGCCGCAGACCA